rnacentral:snoRNA from 1 species
UCCUCCUACAAAGGCAUGUCAGUGAUUUUCUGUCCUUGGACACACAAGAAUUGGAGGUAGAGAGAUGUGGGCUUGAAGAAGUCUGGAGCAGCUUGCUCCCUGCAGGCUCAAGGUCAUCCUUUCCCACACAG